GGUUCUGCCACGUGUGAUCGCAGCACUUAUGCUGGGAAGGAGGGCAGGAAGCAUAUCGCAACGUGCGUCCGGACGAUGACCCAGAAGGGCAGGAGUUGUGGUCACCCACGGACUCUGCGUCUGCAUAUGGAGGCCCCCAGGGUGCAAUUCCAGGAGCAGAAGGCAAAUCCACAGAGGCCACAGUGCACCUCGCCGAUGCUCCCCAGGGGCAUUGCCCCAAAUUUGGGGAACAGUCCCUCCUCUGGGCUAGGGACUUUGUUUCCUCCAUUGUCAUCACUGACUGUGAGCAGACUCUUGUCUAGGCAGACUAAUGAGGAGUUAUCAAAAUGAGCUUCAAAGUCCGGAUUUGAGUUAAGGAUCAUAAAUUAACACAGAGAAAUACGACUUUAGCAAUAAGUGCCUGCUUGAAGCCCAAGUUGCCUGAAAACGCGGAAUUUCAGUCUUUCAGCUCCUCUGCUAAUCUAGGGACUAAGAACAGGAUCUCACUGGAGCUCAAAGAUGUGGGGCACUGGAAAUACUCCUGGGUCUGUCUGCUCAUGGCUGAUUGCCUGAUUCCCAGUUUUAUUAUACAGCUUAAAUACAGACCAGAAGAGGAGUUUGGGGCUUGACACCUGACAUCUUAACACCAGUUCCUGUUUCUUGAGGAAGGAAGAGGUAAAAUAAAUCAGCGUUUACUGUGUCCUUCUCCAUCCCCGGAAGUCCUGAUGAAGACCCUCUCAGAGAUGCAGCACACACAGAAUCCCAGCUGGAUUACAGACUUGAACCUGAAGACCUUAUGCAGAAUGACAAUUUAUGAACCACUAAGCUCAGUACUAAAGCAGCUUCAACUUGAACGUGAAUAUGAGCAACUGAUCAUCUGUUCUGCAGUCAGCCCCUGGCCUGAUUCUGACUCAUGAUAUUGACCAAGUGAAGAGUGAUUCAGAGAAAAACAUGGGUAGAGUGUGACCUAAUUUCCAUAAAAACAAACAAAUGAAUGUACUUACAUGUGUCCCGGCAAAAAGAAGUGUGUAAAAGGGUACAUAUGUAUCUUUGGACACUGGACACUUCAGGGGAGCAGGUACAAUAUACUUAUGUGGGGAUGGCUCUUAUUAUAACUUCUAUAUACAAAUCUCUAUUGUUAAAUGUGUUAUAAGAAUGUAAAAGCUUUUAAAGUUUAAUAACAUCAUACGUGUAUGUGUGUGUAUUUGAAACUUUUUUUCUUUUGACUAUUUUAUAUAUGUGUUUUUUAGUUAUCUAGUUUUUUUUUUUAGUGUGGCUAUAGCAGAGAUACCACAAGUGGAUGGCUUUAACAAACAGAAACUUAUUCUCUCACAGUUUAAGAAGCAACAAGUUUGAAGUCAGGGCACCAGGUCUAGGAGAAAGCUUUCUCUCUUUGUGGCUCUGGGGGAAGGUCCUUGUCAUCUAUCUUCCCCUGGCCUAGGAAAUUCUCAGCGCGUGGACACUGGGUCAAAAAGACGUGCUCCACUCCAGGCACUUCUUCCUUGGUAGUAUGAGGUCCCUCUCAUUUCUGCUCACUCUUCUCUUUGUAUCUCAAAAGAGACUGACUCAAGACUCACCCUAAUCCUGUAGAUUGUGUCCUCCCUCAUUAACCUAACUGCCUCUAAUCCCACCUUAUUAACAUCACAGAGGUUACAAUUUACAACACAUAAGUAAUCACAUCAGAUCACAAAAUGCAGGACAACCACACAAUACUGGGAAUCAUGGUCUGGCCAGGUUGGCACACAUUUUGGGGGACACUAUUCAAUCCAUAACAAUAGAGAAAACACUGUCUUCAAUGCCAGAUUCAGAGACUUUUAUCAAUCUAUGAAGGGCAAACACAGAUAUUGAACAAAAUUCAGACCAGCGAAUUAUUGCUUGCUCUUGUAACUAAUGACUUCUUCUGGUCUCUGUACCUGGAAAUGGCCAAAAAGAAUUCUGUGAGGAUUAAUUCGGUUAUUGCUAAAACAUCUACUGCAUUUACAUGUCUACAGAUAAGGAAGAAUGCUGGACACCAUGUGUGAUUCAUUAAGUAACACAGGGACUAUUAGACUGUUGUUCUCCUUCUCUGAUAUGCCACUAUCACCUUCUCCCCUUGUUGCUCUCCUGAAAAACCCACACUUGUAUAUUCUAGGCUUUUUUCCAGGAUUGAAUUUGCAGGAAGUUGAAGAUAUAUCUUUGAAAGAUAAAAAAGACUUUGGCCACAUUGUCUUUAGACAGUCGAACUUCCCAGCCAGCCUCUGUGCAGGAUGGGAAUUCACAAUCCCUCCUACUCAGUACCUCUGAGCAGGACGGGAUUUCUGUUUCAUUAUCAGGAGACUGUGGAAUUCACCCCUCUUCAGAAAACUUACUUUCCUUUGCCUCAAACUGUCCCUCUCAGGAUCUGUCACGAUCACUCUGAGAAAUUCACAUGGGCAGCCUGUAUGGAAGUGCCCAUCCUAGAGUCCCUGCCCUUCCUUCCUUGCUCCGUAGGGCUUCCUCUGACACUUGGGGUCACAUCUCCCAGGGAGUACACACCUCUGGCACUUCCAGUGAUUCCCAGGCCCUGGGAUACUGUGGAUGGGACUUGGAACUCAAUCUCUUUCUUCCCAUCCUCACCUUUGGUUAUCUGUGUUCUGUCUUCACCAGAUUUAGGAGGCCUUGUCUUCUCUUUGCUCAUUUCAUUUCAGUCAGGCUUUUCUAUUCCAACUCUCUGAUCUCAGGACAGAUCAGGUUAGACCACAGAAAAGAGAAAGACCAAGCAAACAUCACUGAUCUGUGCAGAAGCUGCUGGGAAGGGAUUCGAUUCUCAUUGGUUUAGGGUUUUAAGCCCACUGCUCACCGGCAGGCAGGUUCCCUCCAGAGUCUGGCUUCUGUCUGGUACCUUGUACUACAAAGAACUCAGUGACCAGCCCACCUUCACAAUCACACCUCCCUUAGAGCUAUCUUUGCAGAGGCUCUUUCUCAGACUUCCAUGUCCCACUGAAAUCCCAUUUCUCUUUCCUUACAAACAUUGUGCUCAUUCUCAGGGCCCUGAGACCUCAUCUGCAGGUGAGUCUUGUCCUCUUCUCUCCUUGGCGGGGGGAGCUUUGGAGUGGACCUCAUGUCUUUGGACAGCUAUCCUGGGGCUUCUUCCACCCUGGUGCUCUAGGGCUGGAUCUCUCCAUGUACUUGAGGGGUCAUGGAAGGGGCACAAGGCUAAAAGAGUGGAUCUUCCAGGUGAGGUGGGUUUAAGAAGCCUGAAUGAAGUUCUUCCCUGAAGGGUGCGUAUUUUGCAGUCCAGACAUCCUGCUCCUCUCAGUCUAAGAGUCCUAGCACGUCUUCAGGCGCUUUCUCCUUUGACCUUGAGGCCAUGCCUGCACCCUCUGCAGCCAGGUCUCCGACAUGUGUAGCAGCACCAGUAGGUGUGGUAGCCUCUUCAGCCCCUGUCUCCUCCUCCAGAUGCUCCUGGAGGUGCCUGGCUCUUCUUGCCAGGACUCCAGGAUGCUGACCAGGAACUCAGUGUUGGUUAGACUGAGGGCAGACCUGAUGGCACUCACUUUCUUCAAAAACUCAGCCUCAAGACCAGGGGCCUUUUGCCCACAGGGGUGUGAGAUGUUUUGGUCUGGUCUGCCAGACCAUGGCUAACCCCUUGACCUUACACACUUGGGUAGAAUACUCAUACUUGACCUAUGGAUCUCUGGAGUAAUUUGAUGAGUGAGAAUUCUGCCUAGUGGAAGCUGAUGCAAAAGGCCUCGCUGAUACUUGGGGAAUCCUCCUGGGCUUGGAACUUGGGCUUUUUGUUCUCAUGUUCUACCCUGAGUGACACUUUCCUCUUGGGUUGGGACUUGCAAUA